UAGAGUAGUUACACCUCUGAAGGCGUAACUAUUUCAACACCGAGUCAGUCAAAUUACAUUUAAAACAUUCAUAAAUUUAAAAGAAAUUUUUAUUAUUUUACCUUGUAUUAUGAUCUCCGAUGUGGAACAAUGGGAAGAUUAAAGAUGUGUGAUAAUUUCAGGAUGUUCUUGCACGAGCAGAGCGUCGUCCGGACAGUACCUGAUGAGCUCAGCGACAGUGCAAGAUCGUAAGCAACAUUCAUUCGCGACCUGUCUACGAACACGCCGCCAUUUUCCUUCACCGAGAAGCCGUUGCUUGGUCGUGUCUUGUUGUAGAUCUUUAGGCGCCAUUUUUUCUGUAAAAACAAUAACAACAUAAAAACAGAUUUUUCUUUUAAGUUUUACUGUUUUAAUCAAAUCGUAAUUCAAAUUUGUAAGUUAACCUACUAGAUUAUCUAAGUUUUAUUGAUUUAUUUGAACAUCAUUGUUCACAUUUAAUAUACAUCUUUAUUCGUCAGAAUAUAUUAUAAUAUUAGCCUCAUAAAUAUUUAUGGUACGUACGCUAAAAUCUCGAUCGACUUUUUAAGGCCCGAAACUAAAUAAAUAAUAAUGUUAACGCAUAAUAUUUUGUUAGUGAAUGAAAUAUUUGAAAAUUGGCAGCUAAGCGAAUUUCAGGAUUAAAAUAGGAGACGUGACUCAGGAAUUUAUUAAAAUAGUUGAUGUACUCAUAGUCUCAAGCCGAACCGUACACAAUAUGUUUUAUUAUAUAUUUAAUACAUAAUAAUCAGUCUUUACAAUAAGUAAAAUUACUCAUGAAUCUAUCCUAACUUGAUAAUACACCAUAUCAUUAUUUAAAUUUUAAAAUAUACUAUAAAAAAAUAUUUUUAUUGAGUGAACUCAAUAAAAAGUAUAGAAAAACCGUGAUUAGAAAGAAAAUCACAUUAAAUUGGCCCGGAUUAAUAGACGUGUCUAAUUUGGUCAACAACACACCUUUUUAUAAAUAACUAAAUAUUAAAUUUAUAGCUUUCUAAAAAAUAAAAACGAUUCCGUGCAGUAUCCAGUGGUGGCCGACGAGAAUAAAAGAACGUGGCUUAAAACUUAAUAAAUAUGAGAAACUUAAUAUUACGUAUAUUAUAAAGUUGUAGCUUUCAUAAAAAGUAAGUAAGUAGGUAAGUACUUGUUAUGUUUGCUUCUAGUGUAUUUUUAUUUCAGAAUACCGUUCUGUCAAAAUCAACCCAAGUACAAAACACUAAAUACAAAAGUACAAUGACCUUAUCGCUAAGAGCGAUCUCUUCUAGAAAACAAUGGGGUGGAAAAGAGUUAUCUAAGAAAAAUAAUAAUCGCAGCAAGUUGAAGAUGAUUGUGGAGAGCCAUCCGCUGCAGCUGGUCACUUUGUCGUGGAUGCUGUACACCCUUUCCGCAUUGUCGCCGAACACAAUGCUGCUACUCCUCAUGAGUAUCAACAUUAUGUAUAUCUGAAAGAAAGAAAAAAACUAAUGUUUAUUUCUAUUAAAUAUCGAAACAAAUUAACAGCUUAUGAAUUAAUAGUUUAAAAAAAUUGACAAAACUUUAAUAUAACUUAGAGCAGUGUUUUAGUAA